GGACUACGAGGCACUCCAACCCAUGUGACGUUACCAAACUGUUGCCUCGGCGGGAUCUCUGCCCCGGGUGCGUCGCAGCCCCGGACCAAGGCGCCCGCCGGAGGACCAACCAAAACUCUUUUUGUAUACCCCCUCGCGGGUUUUUUAUAAUCUGAGCCUUCUCGGCGCCUCUCGUAGGCGUUUCGAAAAUGAAUCAAAACUUUCAACAACGGAUCUCUUGGUUCUGGCAUCGAUGAAGAACGCAGCGAAAUGCGAUAAGUAAUGUGAAUUGCAGAAUUCAGUGAAUCAUCGAAUCUUUGAACGCACAUUGCGCCCGCCAGUAUUCUGGCGGGCAUGCCUGUCCGAGCGUCAUUUCAACCCUCGAACCCCUCCGGGGGGUCGGCGUUGGGGAUCGGCCCUGCCUCUUGGCGGUGGCCGUCUCCGAAAUACAGUGGCGGUCUCGCCGCAGCCUCUCCUGCGCAGUAGUUUGCACACUCGCAUCGGGAGCGCGGCGCGUCCACAGCCGUUAAACACCCAACUUCUGAAAUGUUGACCUCGGAUCCGGUAGGAAUACCCCCUGAACUUAAGCAUAUCAAUAAGCGGAGGAACAUGUCCAUUAGCAGAGGACAUAUCAGUUGGGGGGGGGGCCGCGGGUGAGAGAGGAAGGUAAUAAAAAAGAAGGAAGUAAGACAGAUUGUGAGCGAGAAAGAACGGGAGGAGGGAGGAGAGAAACGGGGACGGGAGAGAUGGAAAAAUAGGGAAGAAAACAAAUAGAAGUAAGGAAUAAAGUAAAGAGGGAUGGAGAACAAGUAUAAUGUGGAGUGGAGGGC
rnacentral:rRNA from 1 species